rfam:Triticum aestivum genome assembly, contig: Triticum_aestivum_CS42_TGACv1_scaffold_404729_5BL
UAAAUACUCCCUCCGUUCGGAAUUACUUGUCGCGAAAAUGGAUGUAUCUAGACGUAUUUUAGUUCUAGUUACAUCCAUUUCCGAGACAAGUAAUUCCGAACGGAGGGAGUAUAUG